rnacentral:rRNA from 1 species
GCUGGCGGCGUGCCUAAUACAUGCAAGUCGAGCGAACAGACAAGGAGCUUGCUCCUUUGACGUUAGCGGCGGACGGGUGAGUAACACGUGGGUAACCUACCUAUAAGACUGGGAUAACUUCGGGAAACCGGAGCUAAUACCGGAUAAUAUUUCGAACCGCAUGGUUCGAUAGUGAAAGAUGGUUUUGCUAUCACUUAUAGAUGGACCCGCGCCGUAUUAGCUAGUUGGUAAGGUAACGGCUUACCAAGGCGACGAUACGUAGCCGACCUGAGAGGGUGAUCGGCCACACUGGAACUGAGACACGGUCCAGACUCCUACGGGAGGCAGCAGUAGGGAAUCUUCCGCAAUGGGCGAAAGCCUGACGGAGCAACGCCGCGUGAGUGAUGAAGGUCUUCGGAUCGUAAAACUCUGUUAUUAGGGAAGAACAUACGUGUAAGUAACUAUGCAC